GAAAACAUAGCUUACUGCCCCUGUAUGCUAGGCUACAUGUUUCAACGUAUGUGUGUGUGUCUUUGCAGUGGAUGUGUGCCGCAAGCGGUGGAAGGGGCUGCGGGACGUUUACUUGAGGGAGAAAAGGAGGGAGAAAGAAGGCGGGAGAAGCGGGUCGGCGGCCUCCCAGCAGAGGAAGUGGCGUUUCACUGCGGUGAUGUCCUUCCUCGACCCCUUUAUUGCCCCGAGGGACACAUCAAGCAACAUGUCUCGGGAGGUCGAGGAAGACUUCACCGCAGAAAAUGCUGCUUCUUCUGCUGGGAUGCCUGAAGACCUGGAGGAAGCAGGCCCCUCAGGAGUGGAGUUUGACGGUUGGUUGAUGAGUGAAAAACAUAGCAAAUAAAUUUGAGUCCCCUCAUGGUUUAAACACACCAUUGUAGUCUAAUUUAAGAUGGAUAGAUCAAGUCAUGCACAUGUAAUGUGUGAACAUUUUUUAUUUGAAUAACAAUGUUGCCUGAUUGCAGAGUUUUGAUUUCAGACAUUUUUGUCACAACUUUAACUAAAGAUAAGCCUGCUCCCUCUCCUGCUUCAGCUCCCUCUCCUGCAGCAGCUCCCUCUCCUGCCCCAGCUCCAUCUCCUGCUUCAGCUCCCUCUCCUGCCCCGUCAGCUUCUCCUGCUCCCUCAACUGCGGCAAGUGAUGCCUCGGGCCCCACUGCAGCCAGGCCAAGAGGUAUAGAAAUUAAAUAUUAACCAUAUAUUCAAUGAAAUUGCUCAAGGUCACAUAGAAAUUAUAAAACAAAUAGUAACCGAUUAGUUUUUUUUAUGACAGCGAGGAAGAGGAGGACGCCUCCCUCCUCACGACUGGAGGAGAUUGAGGAGCUCCUCUGUCAGGCCCUGAG